rnacentral:rRNA from 1 species
AUGUUGGAAGCUCAAAAGGACACAUCAAAAAAAUGGGGGCCAGUGCAAGUGCAAAGAAGAAGUACCAGAGUUGAUGUAGGAGGGAAAACCAUGUUGGAGAUAGCUGUCAACAAGAAGAAGAUCCAGAACCUGGAGAAGGAGAAGGACACUUAUCAAGAUCCAUUUAACCCUCAAGAGGUGGAUGAUCCUUUUCAAGUACCCACAGCUGGAAAACCUGAAACUCAUCUUGCAGAAGAUAGCAUCGAUACUCACUUCCCCUUUCCUGCUGACUAUGGGGUGACUGAUGGCAUGGACACUGAAGGUGUCCUGAGCCAAGGUUCUCUCACAAAAAUGUCGUUGUGGAUAGGAGGAGUGAGCUCCGGUAAGCUGUCGCAAGGGCACUACUCGCCUCCUAGGAGCCCUGGGAGGAGCUUCAAGACCAUGUCUUCACUCAGUCCCAUCACGCCGCUGGAGCUGCCGCUGUCUUCGAUCCAAGCAAUCAAGCGAAUCAAGAGUGGUGAGUACCACAAAGCAAUGGAGAUGGAAGCGCUGAGGAGCAGCAUUGGGGUGGUGCUGGGGCUUUAG